rnacentral:rRNA from 1 species
GUGACAUGUUAGGACUCUAAUGAGUUUAAGACCUAAUGAGCCUCUUAAGUGAGGCCGCCAGCAACCUUUUUUUUCUCUACAUUUUAAAAAAAAAACUAAAAUUCUACCCUUAUCGGUGGAUCACUAGGCUCGUGGAUCGAUGAAGAACGCAGCAAACUUCGAUAAUUAUUGCGAACUGCAGAAGUAUUGAGCACAAAAGUUUUGAACGCAAAUGGCCGCAUUGAGGUCAAACUCUUUGCAACGUCUGGUUCAGGGUCAU